rnacentral:rRNA from 1 species
UACGUAGGGGGCUAGCGUUGUCCGGAUUUAUUGGGCGUAAAGAGCGUGUAGGCGGCCGGGUAAGUCCGGUGUGAAAACUCGAGGCUUAACCUCGAGAUGUCAUCGGAAAUUAUUCGGCUAGAGUCCGGAAGAGGAGAGUGGAAUUCCUGGUGUAGCGGUGAAAUGCGCAGAUAUCAGGAAGAACACCUAUGGCGAAAGCAGCUCUCUGGGACGGUACUGACGCUGAGACGCGAAAGCGUGGGGAGCGAACAGG